rnacentral:rRNA from 1 species
GUGUCAGCCGCCGCGGUAAUACGAAGGUGGCAAGCGUUGUUCGGAUUUACUGGGCGUACAGGGAGCGUAGGUGGUUUGGUAAGCCCUCCGGGAAAUCUCCCGGCUUAACCGGGAAAGGUCGGAGGGUACUGCCUGACUAGAGGACGGGAGAGGAGCGCGGAAUUCCCGGUGUAGCGGUGAAAUGCGUAGAGAUCGGGAGGAAGGCCGGUGGCGAAGGCGGCGCUCUGGAACGUUCCUGACACUGAGGCUCGAAAGCGUGGGGAGCAAACAGGAUUAGAAACCCUUGUAGUCC